UCGAGUCGUCCCCAGAGAGCACGGAGUCGACUCUCUCAGGGGAUUCUAGAGGACGUAUUUUUCAUUGAUAAAAUGGCAGAGUCGUCCCCGACGUCGCGGAGUCGUCCCCAUGCAUAAAGCACAAACAUCCCGAGACGUCCCCGUAAAGUGCCGAGCCGACUCUCUCAGAAAAACAAAAAACAAGAAGUCAAGGAGUUCUUCUUCGGAGUCGUCCCCGUAAAGCGCCGAGUCAACUCCAAACAACGUCAAAAGAAAUUUUAUACAGCCGAGACGUCUCA
rnacentral:lncRNA from 1 species